AGCCAAGCCACAUAGCCAGCCAAGCCAGCCA
rnacentral:piRNA from 1 species